AACGAACGCUGGCGGCAUGCCUAACACAUGCAAGUCGAACGAGACCUUCGGGUCUAGUGGCGCACGGGUGCGUAACGCGUGGGAACCUGCCCUUAGGUUCGGAAUAACUCCCCGAAAGGGGUGCUAAUACCUGAUAAUGUCUUCGGACCAAAGAUUUAUCGCCUUUGGAUGGGCCCGCGUUGGAUUAGCUAGUUGGUAGGGUAAAAGCCUACCAAGGCGACGAUCCAUAGCUGGUCUGAGAGGAGGAUCAGCCAGACUGGGACUGAGACACGGCCCAGACUCCUACGAGAGGCAGCAGUGGGGAAUAUAGGAGAAUGGGCGAAAGCCUGAUCCAGCAAUGCCGCGUGAGUGAUGAAGGCCUUAGGGUUGUAAAGCUCUUUUAACCGGGAUGAUAAUGACAGUACCGGGAGAAUAAGCUCCGGCUAACUCCGUG
rnacentral:rRNA from 1 species